CUGGGGCCGAAUGCGCGCGCGCGGUGCUCGAGGCGGAGGGGAGGGGGCGGGGAAGGCGAAAGGAGGGGUUCCGAGGAGAGGGUUCGAUCUCCGCACGCGCCAGAGUUGCAUGCUGAGAAUUUGAAAAAUGAAGAUGUUGUAGACACUGGACUAUUAGGAUUCUGGACUCUACUUAUGAUAUCCCUAACUGCUGGAUUCUCCUGUUGCAGCUUUUCUUGGACAGUGACUUACUUUGAUUCUUUUGAACCAGGAAUGUUUCCUCCUACUCCUCUUUCACCUGCCAGGUUCAAGAAACUGACUGGACAUUCUUUCCACAUGGGCUAUAGCAUGGCGAUUUUGAAUGGCAUCGUAGCUGCUCUUACUGUAGCAUGGUGUCUCAUGUAAACCCACACUGGAGCAAUAUUGUUGGCAAAACUUAAUCAUGAUUGUUUUGUAAUAACAAGAAGGAGCAUCAUUGUCUACUCAGAAGACUGAGAAACCUGCUGUUCAUUAUGUAGUUCAGAUAUUUAUCACAAUCAUCAUCAUUAUGGAAGACCUUUAAAAGCAUUGUUUUAGAAUGUCUGAGUAUUAAGAUACAGAUUAAUUGGGAAUAUCUGAGUAUUAAGUUUUAAGUACUUUCUUCAGAGUAUAAGAUGUUUACCUCAUCUUUUUACUUUUGUGUGUGUAGUUCUUUCAAGUUGUAGGAAACAUUUUAAUGGAAUUUAAACUCAAAAACUUGAAUACAGGACAAUGCUUGCCUUUUCAUGUUUGUACUACAUUUUUUGCUAAGAAAUACUGGUAUGUCUGUUUAGUUGAGCUAGAAAUACUUCUUAUUUAUACAUUUAGGAAAGCAAAUAAUGCGUACUACUCCGACUUUUAUAGAAGCUACUUUUAAAUCAGAAUAUUUAAUUUUUGAUAUUCGUAUAAUUAAUAGAAGUUGCAUUUAUAUUUUUUAUGGGGCAUAGUUCCUUAUGUGUUUUUUAAUGUAUUUUCAUACUACAUAUUGAAUUUGUAUGUUUUUAAAAUUAUUACAUCUAGACAACUGUAAACAUUAUUUUUUUAGCUAGUGCAAACCUAGUGCCUGCCAUUUUUACUAAUUUUUUUCUUUAAAAAAAGCAAAAAAGCACAUUGACCUAAGUUUAAAAUUAAAUAAGUUUAUUUUUAACAAAAAAUGCCUGAAAAAGGUAAAUUAUUUAAGUCAUUAAAAUAUUGAGAAAAAAUUUGAAAUUUUUGCUAUUUCUGUUUCCACAAUUCCAAAUACUUAUCUUGGUGUAUAUAUUGUUACUUUAACAGAACUUGUAUUAUUUUGUUUUUAAUAAAUAUAAACAUGAAAU
rnacentral:sRNA from 1 species